rnacentral:sRNA from 1 species
UAUUUCAUCUAUAACUAAUUUAUCAGAAGUUAUAGUU